CACCAAUACAACACACACACACUGCAUACACUAACAAAACACACACACUGCAUACACUAACACAACACACACUCUGCAUACACUAAUACAGCACACACGCUGCAUACACUAACACACACACUGCAUACACUAACAAAACACACACACUGCAUACACUAACACAACACACACUCUGCAUACACUAAUACAGCACACACGCUGCAUAUACUAACACACACACUGCAUACACUAAUACAACAUACACUCUGU